UUAACUGAAACCAAAAAGAGGUAUAUUAUUGUUAAUAAUAUAAGUGAAUCAAGCAAUUCCAGUUAAA
rnacentral:tRNA from 1 species